CCCCCAAAACAAUUAUCCCCAGAGGUGUUUCUGUUCUGGUGUACAUCUUCACAGAAAAGCUCCUUGACUUCCUCAGAGGCUCCCUGAUGGAUGCCAUGUGUACCACAGAUGAGGAGCUAACUGAAUCUCAUAUCAAGGGUCCAAGUGAGGAUGCAGGGAUCGGGCAGCAGCACAACAAAAAAACACCAUGGACUUCAGAAGAAGAUGAGUGUUUGUUGGAUCUGAAAAUGUGAAACUGAUGUUGGUGGGAGAUCAAGCAGCAGUUCCCACACUGAACAAAAAUCACCCUGCAGCAGUGAUGGUUGUCCACACUUCAGGCAAGAAGAGCAUCACCAGCAAUUGGCACGCGGAAGUGAAAAGGAGAAUGCAAAUGGAUCAACUGAUUGUUGAUUUGUAGAACUUUUGAAGUUUGAUUUAUUGAUGCCAUCUGUACUCAACUUCAUAAGUUGAGAGUUCUUUGUUUAUUUUUAACAGUGUGGGACAGUAAAGUCCUGGGAAUAGCUGUUGCUGAGAUCACAAAGCUCAUCACUGCUCUUUCUAGGAACAGCUUAGCAACAUUUAGAAACAAAGUAAUCAUUCCCAGAGUUUGACUAGUUCUGGGAACCUAGCCAAGAACUAGUAUAUAUAACUUCUUACAGCACAAGGAAUAAAUAAACACUAGAUUGUGAGGAUAGUAAAGAUGAUGAAUCCUGUUCAACCAUGUAUCUUUAUUGUGUACCUCAACUGAAAAAUUCAAUCCAACAACAAAAGCAGGACCUUCAAACAUGCAUAUAACAGUCUCAAUAACCUAGCAGGCCUUC
rnacentral:sRNA from 1 species